rnacentral:tRNA from 1 species
AUAUUUUAGUAUAUGAUGUAUAAUAGUUUUUGAUGCUAUAGGAGAAGGUUUAAUUCUUUUAAAUAUAAU